AUUGAACGCUAGCGGCAGGCCUAACACAUGCAAGUCGAGCGAGCGGCGGACGGGUGAGUAAUGUCUGGGAAACUGCCUGAUGGAGGGGGAUAACUACUGGAAACGGUAGCUAAUACCGCAUACCAUCAGAUGUGCCCAGAUGGGAUGCGCUAGUAGGUGGGGUAACGGCUCACCUAGGAGACGAUCCCUAGCUGGUCUGAGAGGAUGACCAGCCGCAGUGGAACAGAGACAAGGUCCAGACUCCUAGGGCGGACAGCGUUGGUGAAUAUUGCACAAUGGGCGCAAGCCUGAUGCAGCUCUGCUGCGUGUGGGAAGAAGGCCUUCGGGGUGUAAAGCACUUGCAGCGGGGAGGCGUGACGCGCAGAAUAAGCACCGGCUAACUCCGUGCCAGCAGCCGCGGUAAUAC
rnacentral:rRNA from 1 species